AGGAGAUCCAGGUUGAGUCUGAGCUCGGCCUCAUUACUUUCUUUGUUGAAAUUCGAAGUCCUGAAGCUCGGCAUACCUAUUUCUACUGGUAUGACCGAUUCAGUACCGAAGACCAUGGAGUAUGGAGUUUCGCCCGUAGGAAUCCGGCUAGUAGUAUGAUAAGCCCAAAGUAUGCUUGGCAAGUCUUCCGCCCAUUCGCUUUUUGAC
rnacentral:lncRNA from 1 species